AGUUAGCAGCUCUAUGCUUCACUUUCGUCAUCUGUCAGAUGUGGAUGAUAACAGGAUAUGCCUCAUAGAGCAGGGGUGGGGAUUAAAUGUUAGAUGAUGUCUAUAGAAGACUUUAGCUGGGGUGAAUUAAGGGUUCAAAAUGAUGUUGCUUAUGAAUAGUGUGAGGCUAGUCGCCAGCCUUAUCUAUGAGCUAUAGAUGAGGUAGGUGUGUUUAUACUCGUUUUACCAAACUACUGUGGUGGUUAGCUGAGAUACCAACUAUCCAAGAGCUUGGCAAACACAAACUAUAGAGAUGUGAGGGAUUGUGAUGAUCAUUUCCCCUACUGGAGUGAAGGCAAUUCUUCCUCCUGUGCUUCAUUACAAUAUUUGUAAAAAGAGGUAAUUUAAGAUUGGUUGUAGGUGGUAUCUAGACGUGUGCCCCUCCAUAUUAAAAUAAACAUUUUCAGUCAAUCGUUCCAACUAUUUUCAGAGUUUAUCUUAGGUAAAUGUUAUUAUGUCUUUAACACUUCCUAGCACUUAUUAAUCUCUCUUUUUAACAAAGAGCAAGCUUCAGGUUCAGGACUUUACACAGGCAACAGUUUCCAUAGGCCCUCUAGAGGGCAGUGCCACCUACAUGAAGAACCACUGCUUUAAAGAAAACUCAACAUUUCUGGUCAUAAUUGCUCCAUCCCUUAAGGGAAGUCAUGCCAUCUCUGACAGUGGUGUGACUAUACCCCACCAGGUCAUCAUUUGAACUUGAGUAGAAUGCUGACCACAUGAUUCUGGACUGGCCGAAGUCCAAGGCAAAAGAUGUCUUUUAGUUGCAAAACAUUCCUCUCAGUACAGUGUAAGUUUCCAGUAACCUGAAUGAUCCCAAAAUGAGAUGUUGGGUUUUACAAAUUAACUGUUACUGCCUCAAAACUUACUAAAAUUUUUUUCUAAAAUGUAUUAAACCAAACCUGAAAAGUACAUAAAUAAAAUCUAUUAGACCAUAUUUAAGGAUAGAACGUAUGUAAAAAGUAGUUCUCAAGCUUGAAGAAUAUAAUGACCCUUUGAAAGG